CGACUGAGCGGCGGACGGGUGAGUAACGCGUGGGUAACCUGCCUCGUACAGGGGGAUAACAGUUGGAAACGGCUGCUAAUACCGCAUAAGCGCACAGUACCGCAUGGUACGGUGUGAAAAACUCCGGUGGUAUGAGAUGGACCCGCGUCUGAUUAGGUAGUUGGUGGGGUAACGGCCUACCAAGCCGACGAUCAGUAGCCGACCUGAGAGGGUGACCGGCCACAUUGGGACUGAGACACGGCCCAA
rnacentral:rRNA from 1 species